rnacentral:rRNA from 1 species
GACGAACGCUGGCGGCGUGCUUAACACAUGCAAGUCGAACGGAAAGGCCCUGCUUUUGUGGGGUGCUCGAGUGGCGAACGGGUGAGUAACACGUGAGUAACCUGCCCUUGACUUUGGGAUAACUUCAGGAAACUGGGGCUAAUACCGGAUAGGAGCUCCUGCUGCAUGGUGGGGGUUGGAAAGUUUCGGCGGUUGGGGAUGGACUCGCGGCUUAUCAGCUUGUUGGUGGGGUAGUGGCUUACCAAGGCUUUGACGGGUAGCCGGCCUGAGAGGGUGACCGGCCACAUUGGGACUGAGAUACGGCGCAGACUCCUACGGGAGGCAGCAGUGGGGAAUAUUGCACAAUGGGCGGAAGCCUGAUGCAGCAACGCCGCGUGCGGGAUGACGGCCUUCAGGUUGUAAACCGCUUUCGCCUGUGACGAAGCGUGAGUGACGGUAAUGGGUAAAGAAGCACCGGCUAACUACGUG